rnacentral:tRNA from 1 species
GGGGGUUUAGCUCAGCUGGGAGAGCGCUUCCUUUGCACGGAAGAAGUCAGCGGUUCGAGUCCGCUAACCUCCACCA